GCAGUCUUUGCGCAGGCACUUUUGACUCUAGAUAACCUCGGGCCGAUCUCACGUCCCCGUGACGGCGACAACGCAUUCGGAUGUCUGUUCUAUCAACUUUCGAUGGUACUUUCUGCGCCUACCAUGGUGACCACGGGUAACGGGGAAUCAGGGUUCGAUUCUGGAGAGGGAGCCUGAGAAACGGCUACCGCAUCCAAGGAAGGCAGCAGGCGCCCUGAUUAUCCACUCCCGACGCGGGGGGGAAGUGAC